AUUGAACGCUGGCGGCAGGCCUAACACAUGCAAGUCGAACGAGUGGCGGACGGGUGAGUAAUGUCUGGGAAACUGCCUGAUGGAGGGGGAUAACUACUGGAAACGGUAGCUAAUACCGCAUACCAUCGGAUGUGCCCAGAGUGGAUAAGCUAGUGGGUGGGGUAACGGCUCACCUAGGCGACGAUCCCUAGCUGGUCUGAGAGGAUGACCAGCCACCCUGGAACUGAGACACGGUCCAGACUCCUACGGGAGGCAGCAGUGGGGAAUAUUGGACAAUGGGCGCAAGCCUGAUGCAGCCAUGCCGCGUGUAUGAAGAAGGCCUGCGGGUUGUAAAGUACUUUCAGCGGGGAGGCGUUACCCGCUGAAGAAGAACCGGAUAACUCCGUGCCAGCAGCCGCGGUAAUUC
rnacentral:rRNA from 1 species